CAUCCUCCAAGGCUAAAUACUCCUGACUGACCGAUAGUGAACCAGUACCGUGAGGGAAAGGCGAAAAGAACCCCGGCGAGGGGAGUGAAAAAGAACCUGAAACCGUGUACGUACAAGCAGUGGGAGCACGCUUAGGCGUGUGACUGCGUACCUUUUGUAUAAUGGGUCAGCGACUUAUAUUCUGUAGCAAGGUUAACCGAAUAGGGGAGCCGAAGGGAAACCGAGUCUUAACUGGGCGUUAAGUUGCAGGGUAUAGACCCGAAACCCGGUGAUCUAGCCAUGGGCAGGUUGAAGGUUGGGUAACACUAACUGGAGGACCGAACCGACUAAUGUUGAAAAAUUAGCGGAUGACUUGUGGCUGGGGGUGAAAGGCCAAUCAAACCGGGAGAUAGCUGGUUCUCCCCGAAAGCUAUUUAGGUAGCGCCUCGUGAAUUCAUCUCCGGGGGUAGAGCACUGUUUCGGCAAGGGGGUCAUCCCGACUUACCAACCCGAUGCAAACUGCGAAUACCGGAGAAUGUUAUCACGGGAGACACACGGCGGGUGCUAACGUCCGUCGUGAAGAGGGAAACAACCCAGACCGCCAGCUAAGGUCCCAAAGUCAUGGUUAAGUGGGAAACGAUGUGGGAAGGCCCAGACAGCCAGGAUGUUGGCUUAGAAGCAGCCAUCAUUUAAAGAAAGCGUAAUAGCUCACUGGUCGAGUCGGCCUGCGCGGAAGAUGUAACGGGGCUAAACCAUGCACCGAAGCUGCGGCAGCGACGCUGAUGCGUUGUUGGGUAGGGGAGCGUUCUGUAAGCCUGUGAAGGUGUGCUGUGAGGCAUGCUGGAGGUAUCAGAAGUGCGAAUGCUGACAUAAGUAACGAUAAAGCGGGUGAAAAGCCCGCUCGCCGGAAGACCAAGGGUUCCUGUCCAACGUUAAUCGGGGCAGGGUGAGUCGACCCCUAAGGCGAGGCCGAAAGGCGUAGUCGAUGGGAAACAGGUUAAUAUUCCUGUACUUGGUGUUACUGCGAAGGGGGGACGGAGAAGGCUAUGUUGGCCGGGCGACGGUUGUCCCGGUUUAAGCGUGUAGGCUGGUUUUCCAGGCAAAUCCGGAAAAUCAAGGCUGAGGCGUGAUGACGAGGCACUACGGUGCUGAAGCAACAAAUGCCCUGCUUCCAGGAAAAGCCUCUAAGCAUCAGGUAACAUCAAAUCGUACCCCAAACCGACACAGGUGGUCAGGUAGAGAAUACCAAGGCGCUUGAGAGAACUCGGGUGAAGGAACUAGGCAAAAUGGUGCCGUAACUUCGGGAGAAGGCACGCUGAUAUGUAGGUGAAGCGACUUGCUCGUGGAGCUGAAAUCAGUCGAAGAUACCAGCUGGCUGCAACUGUUUAUUAAAAACACAGCACUGUGCAAACACGAAAGUGGACGUAUACGGUGUGACGCCUGCCCGGUGCCGGAAGGUUAAUUGAUGGGGUCAGCGCAAGCGAAGCUCUUGAUCGAAGCCCCGGUAAACGGCGGCCGUAACUAUAACGGUCCUAAGGUAGCGAAAUUCCUUGUCGGGUAAGUUCCGACCUGCACGAAUGGCGUAAUGAUGGCCAGGCUGUCUCCACCCGAGACUCAGUGAAAUUGAACUCGCUGUGAAGAUGCAGUGUACCCGCGGCAAGACGGAAAGACCCCGUGAACCUUUACUAUAGCUUGACACUGAACAUUGAGCCUUGAUGUGUAGGAUAGGUGGGAGGCUUUGAAGUGUGGACGCCAGUCUGCAUGGAGCCGGCCUUGAAAUACCACCCUUUAAUGUUUGAUGUUCUAACGUUGACCCGUGAUCCGGGUUGCGGACAGUGUCUGGUGGGUAGUUUGACUGGGGCGGUCUCCUCCUAAAGAGUAACGGAGGAGCACGAAGGUUGGCUAAUCCUGGUCGGACAUCAGGAGGUUAGUGCAAUGGCAUAAGCCAGCUUGACUGCGAGCGUGACGGCGCGAGCAGGUGCGAAAGCAGGUCAUAGUGAUCCGGUGGUUCUGAAUGGAAGGGCCAUCGCUCAACGGAUAAAAGGUACUCCGGGGAUAACAGGCUGAUACCGCCCAAGAGUUCAUAUCGACGGCGGUGUUUGGCACCUCGAUGUCGGCUCAUCACAUCCUGGGGCUGAAGUAGGUCCCAAGGGUAUGGCUGUUCGCCAUUUAAAGUGGUACGCGAGCUGGGUUUAGAACGUCGUGAGACAGUUCGGUCCCUAUCUGCCGUGGGCGCUGGAGAACUGAGGGGGGCUGCUCCUAGUACGAGAGGACCGGAGUGGACGCAUCACUGGUGUUCGGGUUGUCAUGCCAAUGGCACUGCCCGGUAGCUAAAUGCGGAAGAGAUAAGUGCUGAAAGCAUCUAAGCACGAAACUUGCCCCGAGAUGAGUUCUCCCUGACUCCUUGAGAGUCCUGAAGGAACGUUGAAGACGACGACGUUGAUAGGCCGGGUGUG
rnacentral:rRNA from 1 species